AUAGACAAGACAUGCUUCACUGCUUUCUAUGCUCUUGUUGGUCUUGCUUGUUCUCUUGUUGAAAGCAGUGAAGUAUGUCUUGUCUAU
rnacentral:pre_miRNA from 1 species